GACGAACGCUGGCGGCGUGCCUAAUACAUGCAAGUCGAGCGGACGAAUCGAAAGCUUGCUUUUGAUUCGUUAGCGGCGGACGGGUGAGUAACACGUGGGCAACCUGCCCUGUAGGCGGGGAUAACACCGAGAAAUCGGUGCUAAUACCGGAUAACACGAAAUGUCGCAUGACGUUUCGUUGAAAGACGGCGCAAGCUGUCGCUACAGGAUGGGCCCGCGGCGCAUUAGCUAGUUGGUGAGGUAACGGCUCACCAAGGCGACGAUGCGUAGCCGACCUGAGAGGGUGAUCGGCCACACUGGGACUGAGACACGGCCCAGACUCCUACGGGAGGCAGCAGUAGGGAAUCUUCCGCAAUGGACGAAAGUCUGACGGAGCAACGCCGCGUGAGCGAAGAAGGCCUUCGGGUCGUAAAGCUCUGUUGUUAGGGAAGAACAAGUAACGCAGUAACUGGCGUUACCGUGACGGUACCUAACGAGAAAGCCACGGCUAACUACGUG
rnacentral:rRNA from 1 species